rnacentral:tRNA from 1 species
UUGAUUGAAGCCAAAAUAAAGAGGCCUAUCACUGUUAAUGAUACCAUUGAAUUUUUAUUCCAAUCAAG